UACCCGCAGCUCAAGUGGUGGUCAUUAUUAUUGAGCCUAAAGCGUCCGUAGCUGGUUUUUUAAAUGCCUGGGUAAAUCGAUGCGCUUAACGUAUCGAAUUCCGGGUAGACUGGCAAACUCGAGACCGGGAGAGGUGUAGGCUACUCGAGGGGUAGGGGUAAAAUCCUGUAAUCCUUCGGGGAGGACCAGUGGCGAAGGCGCUACACUAGAACGGCUCUGACAGUGAGGGACGAAGCCCUGGGGCGCAAACCGG
rnacentral:rRNA from 1 species